rnacentral:rRNA from 1 species
AGUGAACGCUGGCGGUAGGCCUAACACAUGCAAGUCGAACGGCAGCACAGUAAGAGCUUGCUCUUACGGGUGGCGAGUGGCGGACGGGUGAGGAAUACAUCGGAAUCUACUUUUUCGUGGGGGAUAACGUAGGGAAACUUACGCUAAUACCGCAUACGACCUACGGGUGAAAGCAGGGGAUCUUCGGACCUUGCGCGAUUGAAUGAGCCGAUGUCGGAUUAGCUAGUUGGCGGGGUAAAGGCCCACCAAGGCGACGAUCCGUAGCUGGUCUGAGAGGAUGAUCAGCCACACUGGAACUGAGACACGGUCCAGACUCCUACGGGAGGCAGCAGUGGGGAAUAUUGGACAAGGGGCGCAAGCCUGAUCCAGCCAGACCGCGGGGGUGAAGAAGGCCUUCGGGUUGUAAAGCCCUUUUGUUGGGAAAGAAAAGCAGCAGGUUAAUACCCCGCUGUUCUGACGGUACCCAAAGAAUAAGCACCGGCUAACUUCGU